CGGGUCCGCCGCGGCACUGACGGUGGCGGCUGGUCUGUUCGCCGUGCUGGUCUUGGACACCUGCGGGGCCGUAGGACCUCGCGCAGCGUCCGCGGCCUCCGGGGCGGGGGCUCCGGUGGCGAAGCCCCCUCCCCGGGGGGGCGGGGCCUGGGCGAGCUCCCCUCCGGGGAACGGCGGCGGCGGGGAACCAUGCAUCAGAAACUGCUGAAGAGCGCUCAUUACAUCGAACUGGGCAGCUACCAGUAUUGGCCCGUGCUGAUACCCCGCGGCAUCCGCCUCUACACCUACGAGCAGAUCCCCGUGUCCCUCAAGGACAAUCCGUACAUCACCGACGGCUACCGGGCCUACCUGCCCUCCAGGCUGUGUAUAAAAAGUUUGUUUAUUUUAUCUAAUGAGACGGUAAACAUCUGGAGUCAUUUGCUGGGUUUCUUUCUUUUCUUCACACUGGGAAUAUAUGACAUGACAUCUGUGUUACCUUCAUCAAGUGCUUCAAGAGAAGAUUUUGUAAUUUGUUCUAUUUGCCUUUUCUGCUUCCAGGUCUGUAUGCUUUGCUCUGUAGGCUAUCAUCUUUUUUCCUGCCAUCGGUCAGAAAAAACCUGUCGAAGAUGGAUGGCAUUAGAUUAUGCUGGAAUCUCUGUUGGAAUAUUGGGCUGCUAUGUCUCGGGAGUAUUUUAUGCAUUUUAUUGUAAUAAUUAUUGGCGUCAAGUGUACUUGAUCACAGUGCUUGCUAUGAUCCUGGCAGUGUUCUUUGCUCAGAUUCAUCCGAGUUACCUCACACAGCAAUGGCAGAGGCUCCGUUCUAUCAUCUUUUGUUCUGUUUCGGGAUAUGGAGUGAUCCCUACUCUUCACUGGGUUUGGCUGAAUGGAGGAGUCGGUGCUCCUAUUGUACAGGACUUUGCACCCCGCGUAAUUGUAAUGUAUGUGAUUGCUCUCCUCGCUUUCCUAUUCUACAUUUCCAAAGUUCCAGAAAGGUACUUUCCAGGACAACUAAACUACCUCGGAUCAAGCCACCAAAUAUGGCAUAUCCUUGCGGUAGUGAUGUUAUAUUGGUGGCAUCAGUCAACAGUGUAUGUCAUGCAGUACAGACAUAGCAAGCCUUGUCCUGACUAUGUUUCACAUUUGUGAAUUCAGCUUCAAAAUCAUUUUAGAAUCAGGAAUGAAGAUUCAAGGAAUAUCUAUACAUCUUAUGACAUCCCACCCGGACAAAGUAACUGAUAUGAAGAUUGUGAUUGACUGGCUUAGAGCUGUGCAACUCUCCAUUUGGCAGCUGGUACAUAAUCGGCGCUUAAUGUCUGUGGUGUGAAUGAAAGAAAUGAAUAGAGGGCUCAUAUGCAAAACUUUUAAUAAGACAAAUGAAAAACUCUGAAGUCACUGAUUAUAAAGAAUAUGCAAUCCAUUUGGGAUUUAUUGCAUUUAAAGAAAGCAGAUUAUUAAAACGGAAUUAAUGCCAAGAAUCCAUCAGAAGUAUCUACUGUUUAGAAGGAAAUGGAGCAGCACCAAAUGGGUCUAAUUCAACUGAUUGGGACUGUUGGGACUGAUGUGAAGCGAUGCUUUGCACCACAAGUUCUGUAAAGGGCACGGCGCCAAAGUCAUCCAUUUUCAACGCAUCUGCACUAUGGAAUGACCCAUGUAGUGAAUUCUGUCUUGGCCGCCCGGGCAAUACGGUAUUGUGGUCAGCACGAAUGUCGCUCAGGCCUUGAUGUGAAGGGUGCCGGGUCAAGUCUGGAGGAUGGAAGGGCUUAGCCCCAAAGGGGUCCAACAGACUCUCCUCGGGUUGCAGGACAUUUCCCCUGUCUUUUACAUCAGUCAGCGCAACACUAAUAUUCUCCUUAGAGUCUGAAAUUGUUAAAAAUUCAUUACUGCUUUGAGAGUCUCGGCGGCCCACUUUUUUGUGCCUACGAGCCCUCUCUGGGGUGCGGUAGGUAGGCUUCAAAGUCUUUUUUGUGUUAGUCGGUGUGCCAUGAUGUCGCUUCCCAUUACUUUUUGACAUAUCCUGCUUUGUGCGCCUUUGGCGAGAGGACAGUUUCUGUAAGCUGCGCUGUUUGACUUUUUGCUGCUCACUCCCAGUUAUUUCCUCAAAGGGCACAAGCCCAAAAAGGUCCUCAUUGCUUUUGCUUUCACUUGUUAAUGUGGGAAAAGGCUGAAAUGGAGUAGAGCCAAAUACAUCUACACUUUUGGGACAACCAGGGAGAUUAUGUGCUUCGGGCCCUACUGCACGGCAGUCUUGUACAUUCAACUUCUUGCUAAAGGGUGCCUUUGUGAAUACAUCAAUUUCUUCUUGCUCUAGUCCCACAGUAGAAAAAUGGGUCUCUUGAGAGAUGUUCUUUUCAUUUGCUCCUGGCUGGGGUUGUUGAGCACGCACUGCGAAGAAGGGGACAGCGCCAAAUACAUCAAACUCCUGUUUGACAGUCUCCACCCCAACAUCAGGGGGCAGCUGGGUUGGGUUGAGGAUUGUUAUGUUAGGAUCUUGGAUUUGCCCACUCCCUGAUUUGUCUCUAUAGACAGGGCUCACAUCACUAUACUUUGCUUUGGCCUGCUCAUAAUCAGAGUCCGAACUAUGUUUUUCUUCUUCCUCAUCUUCAGAAUCCAUGAGGAGAGGCCUAUGACCCAGAUUUUCUGGUUCAGUAUCAUCAUCAUUAAAAUCUCCUUGUUCUCCCUGAAGAACAUCUUCUUGCUCCUCCUCUUCACUGCUCUUAGGAGAAGGGGGAUCUGAUUCAAAAUCACUUUCAGAUUCAUCAUUCCCUUUUUGUACUUGACCCUCUACUGCUGAAUUCUCUGAGGUUUUCUUUCCAAUCCGGUGAUCUUUAUAAACUAUACUUGCUUUUCCAUUCUUGACAGGGUCUACAGUGCUAUUGUCUUGAUUCCUAGAAGAAUGUUCAACUUUCUUUUCAGGAGAACCUGUAGGUUCAAAGAAAAAUUAUUAUACCAUUCCAAGGCAUUUCAAAAACCAUUUGCACUAAACACUAAUCCAUACUAAGAGGGGAGAAAAAUCAAUUCUGCUUAAUGCAUUUGCCUUUAACAAGUUAGGUCUUUUAGUGCAGACAGACUUACUUACCUGUACCCUACACAGUGCCUAUAAGCCCUCAUUGAUAUAAAUUGUAUUUAUAGCACCCAGGACUCUGAACAUAGCAGGCAAGCAAAUUUUUCUUCUCUCCACCCUUUUGCUUAUAUUUUAUUUGCAAUUUGUUUUAAUUGGCAUUCUGAUUUUUUAUAAUGAGUGCCUUGUGAGUUUGGUUAACAUGAGUGCAUCCCCCAAAGCUCAUCAAAGCUAUCCUCCUAUAAUGUCUAUACUACUAGACAUUACAUUAAAAGCAUGCUGCCUUUUAAAAAAAUCUAACCAUCAGUGUGCUAAAUAUAUGCUAAGUAGUAAAACUGCCUCAUAGUGCUUUAUAAUUUCACUGUAUCUUAUAUAAUAUAUAGUGUAUUAAUUUACAUGAGAACAUACUGCCCUCCCAAUAUAUAGGUAUACUGAGUUGAUUUUCCAGAGGUGGAGAUUGAUGUAUAUUGAUCCAAAUACACAUUCUCAUUCCUUUCCUUUCUUUGACAAAGAUCAAGUAUUUUCAAAUAAUUAGCUAUGGUUGGAAGGACAGUUUGUAGGCAUGAAAACUAACUCUGAUGGAAGACCCAUUACUUACUUUCAUUAACAUGGUAGUCUCUCUGAUGCUUCUAUUUCCUACUCUGAAGAGUCAGCCCUUUUUCUUCUCUUUUCCUUCCUGGUCAUAUUUUUAGAGACUUCACUUUCACUAACAUCCCCUUACAUAUCUCUGCAUGCCCUCCACUGGGUCUUUACUACUCCUGUAUUAAUUGCUAAGUGCACCAUAAUAACUCUAAUCUCUUUAACCCAGAUCUUAUUCCGGAGUUCCAGAUUCAGAUCUCUAAUACUGACCGUACAGUUCUUCAUAAAUAUGUAUCUUGCCCUUACCUCAAACUCAGUAAUUUCAAAAGAUACCUUCAUCAUCUUUUCUCAUAAAAUGUGCUCAUCACCUAUUCUCUAUAUUAUAUCUCCACCUACCCAGUCCUCAAACCAGAACUCUGGAAAUUGUCUUCACUUGUCCCACAAAAUAGUUACUGUGUCUUUAAAAUCUCUUGAAUUAUCUCUCCUUAGUCUCUUAACUACUGCCUCAGCUUCCAGUCCCACAUCCUUCAAACUACUCCUCUUCACUGUCACCAUAGCGCUUUUUCUGAAACACUAACAUUACUUCCUGUUUAAAGCUUUUCAGUGGCUGAAGUCCCAACACUUAGCAUAGCAUAGGAUCUUCUGCCUCAGAUCCUAAUGUAUCCCAUGGGUACUCUUCAUUUUAACUAUCACCUAAACUUAGCCAUACCCAAACUUUCCCUACUCAAACUCAGGAACAGAAUAGAUUUGGAUACAUAUUUUGAGAUCUCCCUUGCUAUCCAACCUCUUAAUAUUUGCUGUCAAAACUCAGGAACUUAAUAGAUUCAGGUAUCAAGGGAAACUGCUGUUUUAAUAUCUACCACUGCAAUACUGUACCUCAAUAUGAAUGCUCUACCACCACUCCCACCUGACUACCUAGUAAAGGUGGCUGUCAUUCAAGACCCAGCCUAUAAAAUAGCUGUUCAGAACCACCCCCAGAGGAUACCCAUUCCCUGCUUGGUACUCCUGAUGAACCUACACAAGCCUUCAUUUUAGCACCUAAUGCAUUGUAUUACAAUUAUUUGUUUGCUUUUCUGUCUUUUGACUAUGAGCUCUUAGAACAUAAGACCAUUUAUCUCAUUGUCAUUCAUCUCUGUAUUCUAGCACUGUGCUGAAUCAUUUUUGUUGAAAGAAUAAGUGACUACUAUGAGUGCAAUAGCUAUGGACAUACAUAUUCAAUACAUACAGAUACAAUAAAGGAAGUUUCAUAGAAAAAUAAAUGUGUUUAACUCAAAUUUGGUCACUAACAUUUUCUUAUUUUAAGGUCACUUUAUUACAUGCUGUACACUGGUUAUACACUGGUCAAUAAAACAAACAUAAUCUCUGCCUCCAGGAUUUUACAAUCAAGUAUGGAAGACAGAGAGUACAUAAGUAAACACAAAUUGUGGCCAGUGAAGAGGGGGUGCAGAAAUCUGCUCAGGAUAGUCAGUGAAGGCUUCCCUGAGAAGGAGCCAGCCGGGCAAAGAACAGGCAGAAAAUUGCUCCAGGUAAAAGCAAUAGCAUGUAUGAAGGCCAAUUUCAAGAAAGAGGUUGGCAUGUUGGAGGGACUGAAAAUAGGCCAAUGUAGUUGGAACACAGUGAUCAAGGUUAAUACUGGUAAAUGAUCCAGAAAGAAAGAUAGGGUAAAGGCCCGGAUCAUGAAGUUCCCAUAAAGGCCUUGAUAAGGAUUUUAUCCUUAAUUCAGUCUAUAGUGGAAAGCCAUUAAAAGGUUUCAAAAUGUGUGUCAUGAUCAUAUUUAUGCUUCAAAAAGAGGGUUGCUAUGUAGAAAACAAAGAUGGAAGGAGGGGGUUCAAAAGUUGGGAGACUAGGGAAGAGGAAAUUAUAGUAUAAUCAAGUUAGAGAUGAUGUUGACCUUCAGCGAGGGUGAUGGCAGUGCAGACUGAGAAGUGGAAGAAUUACAGAGACCAGAGGAAAACUCCAGAUGGGUACUAAUACCUUUAACAUACAAAAGAGUGAAUAAAGAACAAGUUUGAAAAUAGAUAUUAUCAAGAGUUUGGUUUUGGACACAUUAAGCUUGAGGUAUCUGUGAGCAGUCAGAUAUUUGUAGCUUAAGCUCAGUGGUUGGUUUUUGGCCGAAGACAACAGAUUUGGGAGUCAGAGGGUAUUCAGAGAGAGAGCCAUGAAACUGAAGGAAAUCACCUAAGAAGAAAGUGUAAAAGAAGAAAAAACAGUGGUCUAUCACUGAGCCUUCAGAUGUAAAACAUUUAAAAGUCAGCAGAUGAAGAGGAACCUGCAGGACAAACUGAAAAGUACCAGAUCAGAGAGGAGAACCAAAACCAAGUGAGUGCAAUGUCAUAGAAGCCGAGCGAGAGUAGACAACUGAGCUGGACGGUGUAAAGAAGUCCAGUGAACUGAGUACAGAAAACGGCCAGUGGAUCUGAUCAACUUAUGCAGUUUGUUGGCAGCCUUGACAUAAGUAGUGGGACUGAGGUGUGAGUAGGAGAGAAGAAAGGAGAAUACAGCCAGGUUACAUUUGUAUUCCAAUAUAAUCUAAUUUUUUUUUUAAACCAGCCAAGAUUGUAACUGCUGUAUCUAUUAUAAAGACACAGAUUAAAACCAAAUCAGAUGCAGAUUCUCAAGUUUGACUUCUUUCCAUAUAGCAAACUUCUGAUAUUAAAAACAGAUUGCCUUUAGAUUAGCUUUAGAAUCUAUUUUCAUGGAUUUUGGUCAAAAGCAAUAGUUCCAGAACACUUUUGAUCACCCCUCACACUAGGUUAUUUCCUCUAAGAGACAUUUUAAUUUAUUAGCUCCCAAAGCUAUGGACCCACAGAGCCAGGACUUGCAGAUCACACCCACAUGCCUCCUCCUCAUGGACACCUUUAGUACCAGUUUCCCAAAGUGUGUUCUACAGAACACUAUUCCUGCAAGUAACCAAACCAAACACACUUCUGUGGUCUCAGGCAACUGAAUUUAUAAAAUGCUGCAUGCUAUUUCUGCCUCCACCUGAAAAUGCUCAGUAUAUUAAAUGUACUGAUAAGUCCUACACAAAGAAUUUGUGUAGGACUUAAUUUUGUGAAACCUAGGAUUUCCCAAACAAUUGUACAAAAAGCACUUUGGAAAAAUGCUGUUCUAUAACUUUUCUGAGAAAAUUCCCAUUUCUAGGGCACUUAAUUUUGCUUUUGAAGGUCUUCUGGAACAUUUAAUACAGGAAAGAUAUUCCAUCGUAGAGCGCAUCCUUCAAUACCCACUCAAAAACAGUGCAUUCUUUCCCAAUUCAUUACCUUCUUUUUGUUAUUCUCAUAUUUUAAUCCCAAUCUCAUAAUUGUUUCCCUCACCCAGCACACCAGAAGACAUCUGUCACUUUCUCCUUCUCAUUGCUUGCCCUUUGUCAGCUUCUAAAUGCCAUAUAGAUCUUUGUUUUAAAUUGUCAAUAUGGACAUAAGUUUGUGGGGUUUUUUUCACUUAACAUUUGUAAUGCAUCUCCCAGGUAUCAAUACAGUCUGAUUUUUAUUUUGAUAGGAACAUGAAAAUGUGUGUGUGUGUGUGUGUGUGUAUAUACAUGUAUAUCAACUAUGUAUAUAUAGAACUUCUAGGUUGUUUCUAGUUUUUGUUUUUCAGCAUUUUAAAUACCACCAAGAGGCCUUAAGCAUAAUUAAUACAUAGUUAAUAAAGUUGGUGAUCCAUUAACAAUCCCCGGCACAAUCAUAGGUAAAUACUGUACUAUUAUCCAUAAAAUGGGAAUAAUAGAUUGUUUAUUAACCAAUAAAAAGCACUUAAUAGAAUGCCUCACACAUAAUAAACACUCAAUGAAUUUAACUAUCUUCUCUAGGGCAGGGCAAACUCAAUUAUUUCAUCCGUCAUACUCCAAUCUUAUAGCAACUUUUCUAUGCUCAAUGGUGGAAGGAGAAUCAAAAGGAGAGGGAGGAGUAAGGGAGGAGGAUGCAAUUCUAUGGCUAAUUCAAGAGGAGUUCAGGUCUACCUUAGAACUGACCAGAAACAAGUAGGUAUACAAAUGUAUAUCCACACACCAUGAGGGUGCUUUUUGGAUCCUGGAAACUAUAUCUCUGAUUUUUAAUAGCUAUAUUUGAGAACACAGUAUAAGAAAUUGAAAAAGUCAGCUUUCAGAAAGACCAUGAAAGGGCACACACAAUGAUCUAAGCCAUUUCUGCAGUUUCAGAUUACAUCCCCUUUUCUGUUGAUGUGGAAUGACUGGUUUUACUUAUUUAUUGUCUUGGCUUCAUAAAACUAAAACAAGAGGCAAUCAGAAAUAUCUAAUGAAUAUGAAAUAUCUGUCAUAUUCUCAUAACUCACCCUGACACUGUUCAACAUAAUAUUGUUUAAAUGUUGUUCUAUUUCUCCAUCCUUCCACUCCUUCAUAAGCUAUUGUGAUUUCAUGAGUAGCUAGAAUCAAGAGAGGAAAAAACUUCUCCAAAAGCAUAUUAAAAGCAACUUAAAAGUUAAGCACCACUAAACAUAAUUUAAGAAGCUGUCCUUAUCUCUCCAGCUUAAGUUCCAGGCUACACAUUGCAACAAUCCUAUGUUGGUUUCACUUUCUACUCAAUCUUCUUUCUUCAUUGUGAAAUUAUAGGAUAGCUCAGAAAGUAAUGGGAAUUACACAAAAAUAUUGCUUCAAUAUAUUCUAAGCCUUGUUACACAGAUACAAAAGACUAUCAAAAUAAGUAUUAUGAAUUAUGAAGAUGGUUACAAAUGUACAAUGUAUGUAUGUAUUUUAAACUGACUUCAUAACUAAGAGUGCUAUGAACUUUUUAUAGUCCAUUUCUUUACCUAGACAUACUCCUGUAAUACAAAAUAAUGACUCAAAUUUUCCUACUUGCUUUUGGUGUCAGAUUGUGUCUUUCCAGUUGUUAGGUUAAAUAAUAUGCAUUUGAUUUACUAUGAAACUUAAAUCAGGAUUAUUUCAGUGCUUAAGUUAAUUUCCCCAAAGUAGAGCCUAAAUAUGUUGCUUUAUAAGUCAAGAUAUCCUAAAUCCCAAUAAUCCCCAUAUUUACUGAGAUUUGUAUUAACAUAAAAUGGCUGUUUCUCAAGGAGGUGGGGGAAGCUAUAGUAUUUAGGUAAGCACUAGGAACAUGUAUUUACAGCAUAAACAAAUGGUUUUGUGAUCAAGAGAAUGUGCCCAAGAUCAUACCUCAGUUACAUUCAAUUAUUUUUAUUUUUGCCUCAAAGUAGGGAAUCCUUCUUCUUUAAACUAAAAAAAGUAGAAUGUUUUGAUAGUUUCUAGUCAGGAUAUUCUUUUUGUUUGUGCCUUGAAACUACACACUAAAAAAUUCAAACUUUUUGAUCAUCUUAGCAAGUUUAUAUUUUACUCACUGAUAUUAAAGCAAGUUUACUAAUUGUGCAGUUAUUUAUAAACAAGUGUCCUGCAAAAACCUAUGUGACCAGCUAGAAUCUAUUAACAAAUCUUAGCAAAAGGGUCAAUCAACAGCAAGUUAUUAUUUAAACACUGCUCCCCAAAUAAGAAAAAUAGUCCAUUAGUCAAAAUAUAAUAUUAAGCAGAUUUUAAGUGAAAAAAAAUGCAAUAGUGAACAUUAAUAUAUUUCUCUUAUUUAUAAGUAAAACAUAGUAUAAAAAUUUCUUUAAACUUGCUUGUGUACUUUCCAAGAAUGCUUUCUCCACCUUUUAAAAAGAUUUUCAAAGAUUCAGUAUCAUGGAUUGAAUUAUUAUAUUGCUAUCCAGCUUUCAGAGCCAGAAUUAAAAGUCAUAAGAGUUUCUCAUUUUUAGAGAAUUGAAACUUUUUAUUGAAGGUUUACAUCAACUUAGCAGAAAAACUGGGACCAGAAUGUAGGUCUCCUAACAUCUAGGGCAGUAAGUCAAUUCUUUACGUCUACUGAAUUCCAUUAUCUGAAAUAAUAGCAAAUAUUCAUCUUUUGAAAUUGGGUUUGAUUGUUGGGAACAAAAUUCACUUGGAGCCAAAUUCUGAAAAUAAGCUGAGUGACUAAGAUAGACAAUUCAGAUUUGGAUACAUUAUUGAGUAGCAAUGAUGGGUUGUGAAGUCUUAAUAGGAAAUUCCAAGUUAAGUGUGGCAAAAAAAUGUUAGAACAAUGGAAGUAAGUGCCAAGAGGACUGGUAAUUAUUUGCACACAUAAAUUCUGCUUGUUUAAAAUUAUUCUCCUGCUUUAUGGCCUUAUUACUUUAUAUACCUCACAUAUAAAAUUUCAAGAUAGUCAUUCAAAACUCACUAAAGUAAUGUUUCGAUUAUUAGUACUGUCAAGAAAAUAACAAGCAUUUACUAAAUGAGUACCAAAUUAACUUUUUCUAAAAAUAUAUAACAUACUUGCCUUCUUUCAAUAGCAAAGGACACUAAAUGAAAAUAUUCUUUGAUGGCCAUGUUCUUUUUGGAAUCAUUCAUUACUCAGUGCCUCACCUUCCUCAUCUGUAAAGCAGCAGUAACAAUAGAAUUCGCUUUAUAGAGUUGUAGCAGGGAUUACAUGUGAGCGACAAUACACGUCAAGUACUAAAGAGAGUUCCUGUCCCAUCGUGCAUACUCAGUAAGGUUACUGUUAUUGUUAUUGUUACUAUAUUAUGUGGUAUCUCAUUAUUUCAUGGUUAUUUACGGAGCAACGUCUAUGUACUUCUGAUGGUACCAAAAGACACUUAAGGAUAAAUCAAAGGGAUUCAAAUGCACAAAUGCACAAACACAGUGCCAAGAGUUUUUCAUACAUUACCUCUUCUACAAAAUCAUUAGGGUGAAAACAUUUGCUAUGAUCUUUCCUAAAGCUUUUUCUCUCUUCAGUUUUAUUAACCACAUUUUCAAAAUUUUUCUUCUUGCUUUCCAUCUCAGAUCAUUGUUAUAACUUCCUACCACUUCAAAGAUGAGCAUUAUUGACACCCCAAAUUCAGUCUUUGGCUUUCUCUUUUCUUUUUCUACUUCUUUCUUUUGGUCACCUUAAUCUUGUUUCACAGCUUCAACUAUAUGUUGAAAACAUAAAACAGGAAGGGGUUUUUAAAGAUUUAGUCCAAUCUCUUUCUUACAUAAGGAAUCUGAGACCUGGUGAGGUUGAAUGGCUUGCCAAAGUUUAAGGCCCAUCAAGCUAGUGGUUUCUCUGCCUAUGACUUGGAUCUGUAUCACUAGUUUAAAACUCUCAUCUCUAAAUUCUAUAAUUAAACUACCAAUAGAAUAUCGUCACCAACAAGAAUUCAACAUUAUCUUAUAAUAAACCCACUUCAAAAUACAACUACAGACUUGUCUUGCAUUUCUUUUGUAUCCCCUUUACAAAGCCAUGCCUGAGAAGUAAUAUAUACUAACAGAAUGAGCACUGUAUUAUUUCUAUUUUCAGCAAACAGUGGUUUGUUGAACUGUGUGAUGAAUGUUUUGGGUUAAGGAGUAUUUGACAGUCUUUAGGGUUAAAUUCUAGAAAUACUGUAUAAAUAUUUAUCAACCAAUGAAAGAAUACUCAACUAUACAAAAUUCAUGGAAAAUCACCUUCUCCAUGUAAAACUUGUUUCCUCAUCUAAAAGAUCAGGAGAAUGAUGGAACUUACCUGAUAAAGCUGAAUAUUAAAUAAGAUAAAAUUCAUUAUAAAUCUUAUUUAGUGAAAGCUCAUUAAAUAUUAGGGUGAAUGUGUAUAUUUGACACACAGAGAAAGAGAUUAGAUUACCAAAGAAUUCUUUCAUAAUGAAUUCAUUCAGGAAGCAAAGCAAGGUACUAAACAAUACAAGGAUGAAUAAGAGAAUUCCUGACCUCAAGAAGCGUUAUCAUUCACUUUACCAGUCAUAUAUGUUUGUACCUUCAGAAACCCAUAUGCUAACACUGAUUCUAUUGACCUGGAAAAUGAAUGGCCAAGAUAAAAACAAUUAGGAAGUGUGGAGAACAAGUUUACCUCAUGUGCCGGUUUGAAUGUAUUAUGUCCCCCAGAAAAAGCCAUAUUCUUUGAUGCAAUCUUGUGGGGCAGACAUAAUA